GUAAUGGGGGUCGAUUAGCCAUGCUAGUUGCACGAGUUCAGACUCGUAGCAGAUAGCUCAGUAACAUGUGGCCAAACUACCCUAUGGAUCCGAAUAACCUCGGGAAACUGAGGCUAAUGCGGAAUAGCGUUCAUCGCCUGGAGUGGCACGAACGCGAAACGUUACGGCGCCAUAGGAUGUGGCUGCGGCCGAUUAGGUAGACGGUGGGGUAACGGCCCACCGUGCCCAUAAUCGGUACGGGUUGUGAGAGCAAGAGCCCGGAGACGGUAUCUGAGACAAGAUACCGGGCCCUACGGGGCGCAGCAGGCGCGAAACCUUUACACUGCACGCGAGUGCGAUAAGGGGACUCCGAGUGCGAGGGCAUAUAGUCCUCGCUUUUCACGACCGUAAGGUGGUCGUAGAAUAAGUGCUGGGCAAGACCGGUGCCAGCCGCCGCGGUAAUACCGGCAGCACGAGUGAUGACCGCUAUUAUUGGGCCUAAAGCGUCCGUAGCUGGCCACGCAAGUCUAUCGGGAAAUCCGCGCGCUUAACGCGCGGGCGUCCGGUGGAAACUGCGUGGCUUGGGACCGGAAGACCAGAGGGGUACGUCCGGGGUAGGAGUGAAAUCCCGUAAUCCUGGACGGACCACCGGUGGCGAAAGCGCCUCUGGAAGACGGAUCCGACGGUGAGGGACGAAAGCUCGGGUCACGAACCGGAUUAG
rnacentral:rRNA from 1 species